UAAAUCGAAGCUCGCUGGAUUGAGCGAUUAGUUGUUAACUAAGAGUUUGUGGGAUAAAGCCCUCCGAUAGUUUGG
rnacentral:tRNA from 1 species